rnacentral:rRNA from 1 species
CCUGGCUCAGGACGAACGCUGGCGGCGCGCCUAACACAUGCAAGUCGAACGAGCGAGAGAGAGACUAUGCUUUCUCAAGCGAGUGGCGAACGGGUGAGUAACGCGUGAGGAACCUGCCUCAAAGAGGGGGACAACAGUUGGAAACGACUGCUAAUACCGCAUAAGCCCACGGCUCGGCAUCGAGCAGAGGGAAAAGGAGCAAUCCGCUUUGAGAUGGCCUCGCGUCCGAUUAGCUAGUUGGUGAGGUAACGGCCCACCAAGGCGACGAUCGGUAGCCGGACUGAGAGGUUGAACGGCCACAUUGGGACUGAGACACGGCCCAGACUCCUACGGGAGGCAGCAGUGGGGAAUAUUGCACAAUGGGGGAAACCCUGAUGCAGCGACGCCGCGUGGAGGAAGAAGGUCUUCGGAUUGUAAACUCCUGUUGUUGAGGAAGAUAAUGACGGUACUCAACAAGGAAGUGACGGCUAACUACGUGCCAGCAGCCGCGGUAAAACGUAGGUCACAAGCGUUGUCCGGAAUUACUGGGUGUAAAGGGAGCGCAGGCGGGAAGACAAGUUGGAAGUGAAAUCCAUGGGCUCAACCCAUGAACUGCUUUCAAAACUGUUUUUCUUGAGUAGUGCAGAGGUAGGCGGAAUUCCCGGUGUAGCGGUGGAAUGCGUAGAUAUCGGGAGGAACACCAGUGGCGAAGGCGGCCUACUGGGCACCAACUGACGCUGAGGCUCGAAAGUGUGGGUAGCAAACAGGAUUAGAUACCCUGGUAGUCCACACUGUAAACGAUGAUUACUAGGUGUUGGAGGAUUGACCCCUUCAGUGCCGCAGUUAACACAAUAAGUAAUCCACCUGGGGAGUACGACCGCAAGGUUGAAACUCAAAGGAAUUGACGGGGGCCCGCACAAGCAGUGGAGUAUGUGGUUUAAUUCGACGCAACGCGAAGAACCUUACCAAGUCUUGACAUCCCUUGACGAUGCUGGAAACAGUAUUUCUCUUCGGAGCAAGGAGACAGGUGGUGCAUGGUUGUCGUCAGCUCGUGUCGUGAGAUGUUGGGUUAAGUCCCGCAACGAGCGCAACCCUUAUGGUCAGUUACUACGCAAGAGGACUCUGGCCAGACUGCCGUUGACAAAACGGAGGAAGGUGGGGAUGACGUCAAAUCAUCAUGCCCUUUAUGACUUGGGCUACACACGUACUACAAUGGCGUUAAACAAAGAGAAGCAAGACCGCGAGGUGGAGCAAAACUCAGAAACAACGUCCCAGUUCGGACUGCAGGCUGCAACUCGCCUGCACGAAGUCGGAAUUGCUAGUAAUCGCAGAUCAGCAUGCUGCGGUGAAUACGUUCCCGGGCCUUGUACACAC